AGUAAGGUGUAAAGCCAGAAUAAAACUUUUAAUAAGAAUACAAAGUAUAUGUCCCGCUGUAUCAAUG
rnacentral:tRNA from 1 species